AUAUUGGUCAAUGGGCGAGAGCCUGAACCAGCCAAGUAGCGUGAGCGAAGAAGUAUUUCGGUAUGUAAAGCUCUAUCAGCAGGGAAGAAACUGACGGUACCUGACUAAGAAGCACCGGCUAAAUACGUGCCAGCAGCCGCGGUAAUACGUAUGGUGCAAGCUUUAUCCGGAUUUACUGGGUGUAAAGGGAGCGUAGACGGAUGUGCAAGUCUGGAGUGAAAGCCCGGGGCUCAACCUCGGGACUGCUUUGGAAACUGUAGAUCUAGAGUGCUGGAGAGGUAAGUGGAAUUCCUAGUGUAGCGGUGAAAUGCGUAGAUAUUAGGAGGAACACCAGUGGCGAAGGCGGCUUACUGGACAGUAACUGACGUUGAGGCUCGAAAGCGUGGGGAGCAAACAG
rnacentral:rRNA from 1 species